rnacentral:rRNA from 1 species
UACGUAGGGUGCGAGCGUUGUCCGGAAUUAUUGGGCGUAAAGGGCUCGUAGGCGGUCUGUCGCGUCGAUCGUGAAAACUUGGGGCUUAACCCUGAGCUUGCGGUCGAUACGGGCAUGACUGGAGUUCGGCAGGGGAGACUGGAAUUCCUGGUGUAGCGGUGAAAUGCGCAGAUAUCAGGAGGAACACCGGUGGCGAAGGCGGGUCUCUGGGCCGAAACUGACGCUGAGGAGCGAAAGCGUGGGGAGCGAACAGG